CCUUUUUUUGAUAAAAAAUGUCACCGGGAAUUUUCCCUCCAACAUUAAAAUGUUACCCGCGAAUUAAGUAAAUUUAUUAAAGAACAAAACAAAAUUGGGUCUUAGGGUUAGGACAAUCCCCAAUUCUCCAUUCUUUCCUCGAUCUUUCAAUACGCAAGAAAAAGAACGGCUCACAUCUCACAUCUUCAAUACGUAGAUUUUACUUAAUUCUUAGUGGAUAUUAUGCUUAGUAGAUUUUGCUGAACUCUUGUCUCCACUAUUACUCCGGGAACUCGUCUUUGUAGACUGCUUUACUAAGGUGUUUUCUGUGAAAUUGAUGCUUUACUUGGUAUAUUUUGGUGUGAAACUGCUCCGUUGAAGGAAUCAGUAAGGAGCAGUCUCUGAAACGAGUACAAUAUCUGUGAUUUUUAAGUUUUGCUAUUUUUGAGCUUUGCUAUUUCUCCAUUGAAGGAAUCGAUAUUCUCCGUUGAAGGAAUCGACUGUUGUUGUUGUUGAACGAGGAAUGGGGAAGGCAUUUGGAGUGUAUUGCAGCGAUUUCCCCAUUUCAAUUGAGAAAGUUUUUGUUCUGCAAAAAACUUAGCUUGGUCAAUUCUUGAGGGCUUGGAUCGAUUGGCAACUUGAGGAUAAAAUUGGAAGCACAAUAAGAGCGUUGUUCAACAGGAUCGCGGUUCUCUUGUCAUAUAAAUUCAAUCUCGGUGCUUCUGGACUGCAUAUAGCUAGUUUUAUAGUGUUUCUCUUUCUGAAGGUGUUAAUGCUUCAACUUGCAUAACUGCCAAAUUGAGAAGCCUUUGCAUAUGGAAACAACUUGUGGCUCUCUUCUCUCUGAGAUGCAGAAAAUAUGGGAUGAGAUGGGAGAGCCAGAUAUCGAAAGAGAUAAGAUGCUUUUUGAACUUCAACAAGAGUGCCUGGAGGUAUAUUGAAGAAAAGUGAAUCAGGCAAGUUGUUGCCGGGAUCAAUUGCAGCAAGCUGUUGCAAGCUCUGAAGCAGAACUUGCAAAGAUAUGUGCAACAUUAGGAGAACAAUCAUCAUACUCUAGGAAGGUUAGAGACAAACAAAAAUCUCUCCUUUGGAGCAUUCAAUAAAACUUCAGGAUCUUUUGCUUGGUAUGUAGAACUUUUUUAACAUCGGGAGCUUCUUUACAUAGAAGAGUACCAAAAUUUUGAAGGAAGAGCUUGAGGCUAUUAAGCCUCAGCUAGAAGAGAUGAAGAGGAGAAAAAGAGAGAGGACUAACCAAUAUGCAGCUGUUGUCGACCAGAUUCAGUCUAUCUCGAAAGAGCUUUGUUUACACUUCCAAGAGAAUGCACAAAUGGGUGUAAUUGAUGAGAAUGAGUUGUAUAUCAAAAGAAGCCUUUUUCUGUUUCAUCUCUUUGCUUGCUUCGAUAUCUGCAUGUUUUAAAUCGAGAUUGCUGUAUUGAAUAAAAGAGAUAAAAAGUUUCAACUUUUGCAAAA